UACGGAGGAUGCAAGCGUUAUCCGGAUUUAUUGGGCGUAAAGCGUCCGCAGGUGGUUUUCCAAGUCUGCUGUUAAAGCGCGAGGCUUAACCUCGUACAGGCAGUGGAAACUGGAUGACUAGAGUAUGGUAGGGGUAGCGGGAAUUCCCAGUGUAGCGGUGAAAUGCGUAGAUAUCGGGAGGAACACCAGUGGCGAAGGCGAUCUUCUGGACGGAUACUGACGCUGAGGCGCGAAAGCUAGGGGAGCAAACGGG
rnacentral:rRNA from 1 species